rnacentral:rRNA from 1 species
AGAGUUUGAUCAUGGCUCAGAUUGAACGCUGGCGGCAGGCCUAACACAUGCAAGUCGAACGGUAACAGGAAGCAGCUUGCUGCUUCGCUGACGAGUGGCGGACGGGUGAGUAAUGUCUGGGAAACUGCCUGAUGGAGGGGGAUAACUACUGGAAACGGUAGCUAAUACCGCAUAAUGUCGCAAGACCAAAGAGGGGGACCUUCGGGCCUCUUACCAUCGGAUGUGCCCAGAUGGGAUUAGCUUGUUGGUGGGGUAACGGCUCACCAAGGCGACGAUCCCUAGCUGGUCUGAGAGGAUGACCAGCCACACUGGAACUGAGACACGGUCCAGACUCCUACGGGAGGCAGCAGUGGGGAAUAUUGCACAAUGGGCGCAAGCCUGAUGCAGCCAUGCCGCGUGUAUGAAGAAGGCCUUCGGGUUGUAAAGUACUUUCAGCGGGGAGGAAGGGAGUAAAGUUAAUACCUUUGCUCAUUGACGUUAUCCGCAGAAGAAGCACCGGCUAACUCCGUGCCAGCAGCCGCGGUAAUACGGAGGGUGCAAGCGUUAAUCGGAAUUACUGGGCGUAAAGCGCACGCAGGCGGUUUGUUAAGUCAGAUGUGAAAUCCCCGGGCUCAACCUGGGAACUGCAUCUGAUACUGGCAAGCUUGAGUCUCGUAGAGGGGGGUAGAAUUCCAGGUGUAGCGGUGAAAUGCGUAGAGAUCUGGAGGAAUACCGGUGGCGAAGGCGGCCCCCUGGACGAAGACUGACGCUCAGGUGCGAAAGCGUGGGGAGCAAACAGGAUUAGAUACCCUGGUAGUCCACGCCGUAAACGAUGUCGACUUGGAGGUUGUGCCCUUGAGGCGUGGCUUCCGGAGCUAACGCGUUAAGUCGACCGCCUGGGGAGUACUGCCGCAAGGUUAAAACUCAAAUGAAUUGACGGGGGCCCGCACAAGCGGUGGAGCAUGUGGUUUAAUUCGAUGCAACGCGAAGAACCUUACCUGGUCUUGACAUCCACGGAAGUUUUCAGAGAUGAGAAUGUGCCUUCGGGAACCGUGAGACAGGUGCUGCAUGGCUGUCGUCAGCUCGUGUUGUGAAAUGUUGGGUUAAGUCCCGCAACGAGCGCAACCCUUAUCCUUUGUUGCCAGCGGUCCGGCCGGGAACUCAAAGGAGACUGCCAGUGAUAAACUGGAGGAAGGUGGGGAUGACGUCAAGUCAUCAUGGCCCUUACGACCAGGGCUACACACGUGCUACAAUGGCGCAUACAAAGAGAAGCGACCUCGCGAGAGCAAGCGGACCUCAUAAAGUGCGUCGUAGUCCGGAUUGGAGUCUGCAACUCGACUCCAUGAAGUCGGAAUCGCUAGUAAUCGUGGAUCAGAAUGCCACGGUGAAUACGUUCCCGGGCCUUGUACACACCGCCCGUCACACCAUGGGAGUGGGUUGCAAAAGAAGUAGGUAGCUUAACCUUCGGGAGGGCGCUUACCACUUUGUGAUUCAUGACUGGGGUGAAGUCGUAACAAGGUAACCGUAGGGGAACCUGCGGUUG